rnacentral:rRNA from 1 species
UACACGACCGUACCGCAAACCGACACUGGUGCGCGAGAUGAGUAUUCUAAGGCGCUUGAGAGAACUCAGGGGAAGGAACUCGGCAAAUUGACACCGUAACUUCGGAAGAAGGUGUGCCUUUAGUAGGUGAAGUCCCUCGCGGAUGGAGCCCAAUGAGGUUGCAAAAAAUCGGUGGCUGCGACUGUUUAUUAAAAACACAGCACUCUGCAAACACGAAAGUGGACGUAUAGGGUGUGACGCCUGCCCGGUGCUGGAAGAUUAAAUGAUGGGGUGCAAGCUCUUGAUUGAAGUCCCAGUAAACGGCGGCCGUAACGAUAACGGUCCUAAGGUAGCGAAAUUCCUUGUCGGGUAAGUUCCGACCUGCACGAAUGGCGUAACGAUGGCCACACUGUCUCCUCCUGAGACUCAGCGAAGUUGAAAUGUUUGUGAUGAUGCAAUCUCCCCGCGGAAAGACGGAAAGACCCCAUGAACCUUUACUGUAGCUUUGUAUUGGACUUUGAACAGAUCUGUGUAGGAUAGGUGGGAGGCUUUGAAGUAGGGUCGCUAGAUCUUAUGGAGCCAACGUUGAAAUACCACCCUGGUGUGUUUGAGGUUCUAACCUAGGUCCAUUAUCUGGAUCGGGGACAGUGCAUGGUAGGCAGUUUGACUGGGGCGGUCUCCUCCCAAAGCGUAACGGAGGAGUUCGAAGGUACGCUAGUUACGGUCGGACAUCGUGAUGAUAGUGCAAUGGCAUAAGCGUGCUUAACUGCGAGACUGACAAGUCGAGCAGAUGCGAAAGCAGGACAUAGUGAUCCGGUGGUUCUGUAUGUAAGGGCCAUCGCUCAACGGAUAAAAGGUACUCUGGGGAUAACAGGCUGAUACCGCCCAAGAGUUCAUAUCGACGGCGGUGUUUGGCACCUCGAUGUCGGCUCAUCUCAUCCUGGGGCUGUAGCCGGUCCCAAGGGUAUGGCUGUUCGCCAUUUAAAGAGGUACGUGAGCUGGGUUUAAAACGUCGUGAGACAGUUUGGUCCCUAUCUUCCGUGGGCGCUGCAGAUUUGAGGAAGCCUGCUCCUAGUACGAGAGGACCGGAGUGGACACACCUCUGGUGUAUCGGUUGUCACGCCAGUGGCAUUGCCGAGUAGCUAAGUGUGGAAGAGAUAACCGCUGAAAGCAUCUAAGCGGGAAACUCGUUUCAAGAUGAGAUCUGCCGGGGCCUUGAGCCCCCUGAAGAGUCGUUCAAGACCAGGACGUUGAUAGGUCGGGUGUGGAAGCGCAGUAAUGCGUUAAGCUAACCGAUACUAAUUGCUCGUGCGGCUUGACCCU